UACGUAGGGGGCAAGCGUUGUCCGGAUUUAUUGGGCGUAAAGCGCUCGCAGGUGGUUCGUCGCGUCGUGCGUGAAAGACCCCGGCUCAACUGGGGAGGGUCGUGCGAUACGGGCGGACUGGAGGCCAGUAGGGGGAUGCGGAAUUCCGGGUGUAGUGGUGGAAUGCGUAGAGAUCCGGAGGAACACCAGCGGCGAAGGCGGCAUCCUGGACUGGUCCUGACACUCAGGAGCGAAAGCGUGGGGAGCGAUCCGGAUUAGAAACCCCCGUAGUCC
rnacentral:rRNA from 1 species